rnacentral:tRNA from 1 species
AGUUUAAGAGCUUGAAAUAAGUAUAUAUUUUGAAAAUAUAAGAUAAGUUAACCUUUUAAACUU